rnacentral:rRNA from 1 species
AUUGAACGCUGGCGGCAUGCCUUACACAUGCAAGUCGAACGGUAGCACGGGAGCAAUCCUGGUGGCGAGUGGCGAACGGGUGAGUAAAGUAUCGGAACGUGCCCAGUCGUGGGGGAUAACGUAGCGAAAGUUACGCUAAUACCGCAUACGAUCUAUGGAUGAAAGCGGGGGAUCGCAAGACCUCGCGCGAUUGGAGCGGCCGAUAUCAGAUUAGGUAGUUGGUGGGGUAAAGGCCCACCAAGCCGACGAUCUGUAGCUGGUCUGAGAGGACGAACAGCCAAACUGGGACUGAGACACGGCCCAGAAUCCUACGGGAGGCAGCAGUGGGGAAUUUUGGACAAUGGGCGAAAGCCUGAUCCAGCCAUGCCGCGUGCAGGAUGAAGGCCUUCGGGUUGUAAACUGCUUUUGUACGGAACGAAAAGGACUGCCCUAAUACGGUGGUCCCAUGACGGUACCGUAAGAAUAAGCACCGGCUAACUACGUGCCAGCCGCCGCCGUAA